rnacentral:rRNA from 1 species
UACGGAGGGUGCAAGCGUUAAUCGGAAUUACUGGGCGUAAAGCGUGCGCAGGUGGUUUGUUAAGUCCGCUGUGAAAUCCCCGAGCUCAACUUGGGAAUUGCAGUGGAUACUGGCAAGCUGGAGUAUGGUAGAGGAAGGUGGAAUUCCCGGUGUAGCAGUGAAAUGCGUAGAGAUCGGAAAGAACACCAACGGCGAAAGCACUCUGCUGGGCCGACACUGACACUGAGAGACGAAAGCUAGGGGAGCGAAUGGG